UCGGUAUUAUGAUGAUACCCAUUCCAAUGCAUAGUUCAUCUGAAUUCUCUGAUGAAAAACUUACCUUCAAUAUUCUUUCGCUCCCAUCUGAUAUACCAU
rnacentral:snoRNA from 1 species